AGACCGGGAUAACAGCUGGAAACGGCUGCUAAUACCGGAUACGCUCUUGGAGCCGCAUGGUGCCGAGAGGAAAGGUGAGCCGCUAUCAGAUGGAUCCGCGUCCCAUUAGCUGGUUGGUGGUGUAGCGGACCACCAAGGCGACGAUGGGUAGCCGGCCUGAGAGGGCGACCGGCCACACUGGGACUGAGACACGGCCCAGACUCCUACGGGAGGCAGCAGUGGGGAAUCUUCCGCAAUGGGCGAAAGCCUGACGGAGCAACGCCGCGUGAGGGAAGAAGGCCUUCGGGUUGUAAACCUCUGUCCUAAAGGAAGAAAGAAAUGACGGUACUUUAGGAGGAAGCCCCGGCUAACUACGUGCCAGCAGCCGCGGUAAAACGUAGGGGGCGAGCGUUGUCCGGAAUUACUGGGCGUAAAGGGCGCGUAGGUGGUUCAUUAAGUUAGAGGUGAAAGUGCGGGGCUUAACCCCGUGAUUGCCUCUGAUACUGGUGGACUUGAGUGCAGGAGAGGGGAGCGGAAUUCCCAGUGUAGCGGUGAAAUGCGUAGAUAUUGGGAGGAACACCAGUGGCGAAGGCGGCUCUCUGGACUGCAACUGACACUGAGGCGCGAAAGCGUGGGGAGCAAACAGGAUUAGAUACCCUGGUAGUCCACGCCGUAAACGAUGAGUGCUAGGUGUUGCGGGUAUCGACCCCUGCAGUGCCGCAGUAAACACAAUAAGCACUCCGCCUGGGGAGUACGGUCGCAAGACUGAAACUCAAAGGAAUUGACGGGGGCCCGCACAAGCGGUGGAGUAUGUGGUUUAAUUCGACGCAACGCGAAGAACCUUACCAGGGCUUGACAUCGCGCGACAGCUCUAGAGAUAGAGGGUUCUGCCUUAGGGUAGACGCGCAGACAGGUGGUGCAUGGUUGUCGUCAGCUCGUGUCGUGAGAUGUUGGGUUAAGUCCCGCAACGAGCGCAACCCCUAACAUUAGUUGCCAGCGAGAGAGACGGGGACUCUAAUGUGACUGCCGUUGACAAAACGGAGGAAGGUGGGGAUGACGUCAAAUCAUCAUGCCCCUUAUGUCCUGGGCUACACACGUACUACAAUGGCCGGUACAAACGGAGGCGAAGGCGUGAGCCGGAGCAAAACUGAGAAAGCCGGUCUCAGUUCGGAUUGUAGUCUGCAACUCGACUACAUGAAGUCGGAAUCGCUAGUAAUCGC
rnacentral:rRNA from 1 species